ACGGGAAGUUCCCUCUGAAAGCCUACCACUUAAUCAGACAACGAAAGUACAGAGAACUUGAAUCCAUUCGGCCCAUCAAUCACCUCACUGACUCUGCCUGCAAAUCAACUCCAUUCCUAUCUCAUAAUAAGGUGCAGGUCACGAUCGGAUCUGCCAGAAUAAUCUGUCAUUCCCCAUCAUCAAAAACCAUCAGCUCGCGGCUAGGGAACGAUGGGUGCCCUCCUUGGUUUGAUCCUGUGUCUCUGUUUACCCUGUUUGUUCAGUCAGUCAGUGACACAGAGUCCUUUAAGUGUUUCCAAGAACGAGUGUGAGUCCCUCACCAUCACCUGUGUUUUUGAUGAAUAUCAUUGGAAUUACUAUAAUUAUUUUGAGAGUGGGCAAUUCUUCAAACAAACGCAGGCAGCGACAGAAUGGGAGGGGAUCUCCGGCGGCAGGAGAUUUGUUCUGUCCACGGAUAAAGCUCAAAAGACAUUUUCGUUGGAAAUUCGGGAUGUCAGAGUUGAAGACACCGCCACCUAUUACUGUAAAGCUCGAUACUGGUACGAUGCACAAUGUGAUGGCCUCCGCUUCCCGUCGCUCAAAAACUCUCACAGGAGAUUAUUCCAGAAAUAAAUUGAAAACCAAGCCAAUCUGCCCAGAAAUUCGCA